AGUCGAGGAUCUUCGGCAAUGGGCGCAAGCCUGACCGAGCGACGCCGCGUGUGCGAUGAAGGCCUUCGGGUUGUAAAGCACUGUCGAGAGGGAGAAAAGCGAAAGCUUGAUCUAUCUCUGGAGGAAGCACGGGCUAAGUUCGUGCCAGCAGCCGCGGUAAGACGAACCGUGCGAACGUUGUUCGGAAUCACUGGGCUUAAAGGGCGCGUAGGCGGGUCUUCAAGUUUGGGGUGAAAUCCUCCGGCUCAACCGGAGAACUGCCUCGAAUACUGACGAUCUCGAGGGGGAUAGGGGCAUGCGGAACUACGGGUGGAGCGGUGAAAUGCGUUGAUAUCCGUAGGAACUCCGGUGGCGAAGGCGGCGUGCUGGAUCCCUUCUGACGCUGAGGCGCGAAAGCCAGGGGAGCAAA
rnacentral:rRNA from 1 species